rnacentral:rRNA from 1 species
GUCGAGCGGUAGCACAGAGAGCUUGCUCUCGGGUGACGAGCGGCGGACGGGUGAGUAAUGUCUGGGAAACUGCCUGAUGGAGGGGGAUAACUACUGGAAACGGUAGCUAAUACCGCAUAACGUCGCAAGACCAAAGUGGGGGACCUUCGGGCCUCAUGCCAUCAGAUGUGCCCAGAUGGGAUUAGCUAGUAGGUGGGGUAACGGCUCACCUAGGCGACGAUCCCUAGCUGGUCUGAGAGGAUGACCAGCCACACUGGAACUGAGACACGGUCCAGACUCCUACGGGAGGCAGCAGUGGGGAAUAUUGCACAAUGGGCGCAAGCCUGAUGCAGCCAUGCCGCGUGUGUGAAGAAGGCCUUCGGGUUGUAAAGCACUUUCAGCGGGGAGGAAGGCGGUGAGGUUAAUAACCUUGGCGAUUGACGUUACCCGCAGAAGAAGCACCGGCUAACUCCGUGCCAGCAGCCGCGGUAAUACGGAGGGUGCAAGCGUUAAUCGGAAUUACUGGGCGUAAAGCGCACGCAGGCGGUCUGUCAAGUCGGAUGUGAAAUCCCCGGGCUCAACCUGGGAACUGCAUUCGAAACUGGCAGGCUAGAGUCUUGUAGAGGGGGGUAGAAUUCCAGGUGUAGCGGUGAAAUGCGUAGAGAUCUGGAGGAAUACCGGUGGCGAAGGCGGCCCCCUGGACAAAGACUGACGCUCAGGUGCGAAAGCGUGGGGAGCAAACAGGAUUAGAUACCCUGGUAGUCCACGCCGUAAACGAUGUCGAUUUGGAGGUUGUGCCCUUGAGGCGUGGCUUCCGGAGCUAACGCGUUAAAUCGACCGCCUGGGGAGUACGGCCGCAAGGUUAAAACUCAAAUGAAUUGACGGGGGCCCGCACAAGCGGUGGAGCAUGUGGUUUAAUUCGAUGCAACGCGAAGAACCUUACCUGGUCUUGACAUCCACAGAACUUUCCAGAGAUGGAUUGGUGCCUUCGGGAACUGUGAGACAGGUGCUGCAUGGCUGUCGUCAGCUCGUGUUGUGAAAUGUUGGGUUAAGUCCCGCAACGAGCGCAACCCUUAUCCUUUGUUGCCAGCGGUUCGGCCGGGAACUCAAAGGAGACUGCCAGUGAUAAACUGGAGGAAGGUGGGGAUGACGUCAAGUCAUCAUGGCCCUUACGACCAGGGCUACACACGUGCUACAAUGGCAUAUACAAAGAGAAGCGACCUCGCGAGAGCAAGCGGACCUCAUAAAGUAUGUCGUAGUCCGGAUUGGAGUCUGCAACUCGACUCCAUGAAGUCGGAAUCGCUAGUAAUCGUAGAUCAGAAUGCUACGGUGAAUACGUUCCCGGGCCUUGUACACACCGCCCGUCACACCAUGGGAGUGGGUUGCAAAAGAAGUAGGUAGCUUAACCUUC